GACGAACGCUGGCGGCGUGCUUAACACAUGCAAGUCGAACGGAAAGGCCCUGCUUUUGGGGGGUGCUCGAGUGGCGAACGGGUGAGUAACACGGGAGUAACCUGCCCUUGACUUUGGGAUAACUUCAGGAAACUGGGGCUAAUACCGGAUAGGAGCUCCUGCUGACUGGUGGGGGUUGGAAAGUUUCGGCGGUUGGGGAUGGACUCGCGGCUUAUCAGCUUGUUGGUGGGGUAGUGGCUUACCAAGGCUUUGACGGGUAGCCGGCCUGAGAGGGUGACCGGCCACAUUGGGACUGAGAUACGGCCCAGACUCCUACGGGAGGCAGCAGUGGGGAAUAUUGCACAAUGGGCGGAAGCCUGAUGCAGCAACGCCGCGUGCGGGAUGACGGCCUUCGGGUUGUAAACCGCUUUCGCCUGUGACGAAGCGUGAGUGACGGUAAUGGGUAAAGAAGCACCGGCUAACUACGUG
rnacentral:rRNA from 1 species